rnacentral:rRNA from 1 species
GAUGAACGCUAGCUACAGGCUUAACACAUGCAAGUCGAGGGGAAACGACAUCGAAAGCUUGCUUUUGAUGGGCGUCGACCGGCGCACGGGUGAGUAACGCGUAUCCAACCUGCCCAUCACUUGGGGAUAACCUUGCGAAAGUAAGACUAAUACCCAAUGAUAUCCCACGAAGGCAUCCGAAUGGGAUUAAAGAUUUAUCGGUGAUGGAUGGGGGUGCGUCUGAUUAGCUUGUUGGCGGGGUAACGGCCCACCAAGGCAACGAUCAGUAGGGGUUCUGAGAGGAAGGUCCCCCCACAUUGGAACUGAGACACGGUCCAAACUCCUACGGGAGGCAGCAGUGAGGAAUAUUGGUCAAUGGGCGAGAGCCUGAACCAGCCAAGUAGCGUGCAGGACGACGGCCCUAUGGGUUGUAAACUGCUUUUAUGCGGGGAUAAAGUUAGGGAUGUAUCCCUUUUUGCAGGUACCGCAUGAAUAAGGACCGGCUAAUUUCGUG